GUCUGUAUUUCUGCAACAGGGAAAUCAUUUUUAGGGAAGCACCAUUCUUUAGGCAAGCAUUGUAGCAUGACUCAACUUUGGAUAAAGGGGUCUAUUGAAUGAAGUCUUGGAGUUGAAUGAAGGCUAUACAUAUUUGAGGAUCAAUAUACUAUGAAUAAUAAGGUGUAGUGUUGCAAGUUGGAAUGAGAGAAUGCUGCACUUAAUAUAGGAGACAGCGAUAUGCGUGGAAUUCAUGUCCUCGGCUCCUGUGCUAGACUCGCUCCUAGGCCUCUUGCAGUCCUCCAUGUCCAACGCCUCAUCGCUAAUUGAAAACAAGCAAAUGGAGGCAGCAUUUUUAUCUUCUAUGGAGGAAAAAUGAAAAAAUAGAGACUUGGAGAGGAAGUCAGUGAACAUCCAAGAUGGCGUCAGAGAACUUACUUUGUUAGAAGAGAAGAAGAAUCUUGGAAGCAAUUUGAAGAUAGAAAAAUGUGAAAUUACUUAGGAAAUUUGAGAAUUGAGAAAUUUGGAAGUUGAGGAAUUUAAAGAUUGAAAAUUUGGAACUUUGAAAAGUACCUGAGAAAUAUUUGAAAAUGAGGAGAUUAAAGAACAGAGAGAUUGAAGACAGGGAAUUAAGAGUAGGGAAAUAAAAGAGAAGGAAAUUAGGAAAUUUAGAAACAGGAAUUAGGAGAAUUUCUAAAUUGAGAAAUUUGGAAGUUGAGGAAUUUAGAUUUUGAAAAUUUAGAACUUUGAAAAGUACCUGAGAAAUAUUUGAAAAUGAGGAGAUUAAAGAACAGGGGGAUUGAAGGCAGGGAAUUAGGAGUAGGGAAAUUAGUUAAUUUAGAAACAGGAACUAGAAGAAUUUCUAAAUUGAGAAACUCGUAACUAGGGGCAUUUUUAAAUAGAAUUUCUAGGUACAGUCCUAGGCUAAUUAUAAAUUAAUAAUUACAUGAAGGAAUAAAUAUUUAUUACCAAGCAUAUAAUUCAUACCAAUAUCCAGGCAGCCAUUGCCAUCAUCGCUGCAAAAAUGCCCAUGGAUGUGUAAGCGAACAUAGUCAAACACACCACAAUGUCCUGGUGAAGAGAUCAUUUUGGAUAUUUACGUUCCUGUAAGAACGAUAACUCGUAUUCAUAAUUUCUAUACUCGUAUCUAUAAUUUUGUUGAAAAAACAGCAUUGUGAGAAAAAUGUUUGUUUGAAACUCUUUUUCGAUAAAUUAUCAGUAUGAAAAGAAAAAUGGCGCAUUGUUCUCCAUAUUGAAUAUAACAUUGUUAUCUGAACGAGCGAAAGACUCGACAGUUGUCAUACAAAGAAAGACCGUAAAAAGGUAGCUAAAGAGGUGGCCUAUCCGGUAAUAUAACGAGAGUGUGCAGUGAGAGAUCGGUGCUACUCGACUCUUAAUUAGGAGGGACAUAAUAGGAUCGUACAGCGUGGAUGGUUAAUGAAAACAGCCUCGCCAGUCGUGAACAUGAUGGCUGAAUUCUAUCUUUCACCAGCAGCUUUCCGUAGUU
rnacentral:lncRNA from 1 species